UAAGGAAUAUUGGACAAUGGAGGCAACUCUGAUCCAGCCAUGCCGCGUGAAGGAAUAAGGCCCUAUGGGUUGUAAACUUCUUUUAGACGGGACAAAACCCCUUUACGUGUAAAGGGUUGAUGGUACUGUCAGAAUAAGCAUCGGCUAACUUCGUGCCAGCAGCCGCGGUAAUACGAAGGAUGCAAGCGUUAUCCGGAAUUAUUGGGUUUAAAGGGUGCGUAGGCGGACUAAUAAGUCAGUGGUGAAAGCCUGCAGCUUAACUGCAGAAUUGCCAUUGAUACUGUUAGUCUUGAGUACAGUUGAGGUAGGCGGAAUGUGUCAUGUAGCGGUGAAAUGCUAGAUAUGACACAGAACACCGAUUGCGAAGGCAGCUUGCUAAGCUGUAACUGACGCUGAGGCACGAAAGCGUGGGGAGCAAACA
rnacentral:rRNA from 1 species